AUUGAACGCUGGCGGCAGGCCUAACACAUGCAAGUCGAGCGGAGCGGCGGACGGGUGAGUAAUGCCUAGGAAUCUGCCUGGUAGUGGGGGAUAACGUCCGGAAACGGGCGCUAAUACCGCAUACUAUCAGAUGAGCCUAGGUCGGCUUAGCUAGUUGGUAGGGUAAAGGCAGACCAAGGCGACGAUCCGUAACUGGUCUGAGAGGAUGAUCAGUCACCCGUGAACGGAGACACGGUCCAGACUCCUCCGGGAGGCAGCAGUGGGGAAUAUUGGACAAUGGGCGAAAGCCUGAUCCAGCCAUGCCGCGUGUAUGAAGAAGGCCUUCGGGUUGUAAAGUACUUUCAGCGGGGAGGCGUUACCCGCAGAAGAAGCACCGGCUAACUCCGUGCCAGCAGCCGCGGUAAUUC
rnacentral:rRNA from 1 species